rnacentral:misc_RNA from 1 species
GCUGUCUACUAAACGAGCCUUCACUGCCCGCCCGGCCCCGUUUCUUUAAUCUUAAGUAAAGUGAAGUCAAAUCAAUGAAGUGAACAGCCCAACCUCUUUGUUUGAAGCUUUUCCAGAAUGUUACUUGUUGAAGCUUUGCUUCCCCUAAUUCCAAAGCACAACAAUAGACUUGCAACUAUAGUAUAGGAAAAAGCUUCUCUUUGAUAGCGGUCAUAGGGGGGUUCAGAAAGGAUCUGAUCGUAGAUAGAGACUGAAACCGGGG